UUUCUCACUAUCUCUCUAUCUUCUUCUCUCUCUCCUUUCUUCACAAAAGAGAAAUCCCCCAAAAUUGGAGAAAUCCCUAACCCGUCGCCUACUCCUUCUCACGCCAUCCCCGUCCUCUAUUCGCCGCUGGUUAGCCGCCCUCUGUCACGACACAGCAGCUGCACCGAGCAGCCAUCACCGUCGCUGUCAUCGCUGUUCCAAGCAGCCAUCGCCGCUGGUUCGACCUGUUGCCGCUGCUGCCUCCUCGACGGGAGGACGCUGCUGUCACCGGGAAAAGGGCGACGCCGCGGCUCGUCGUAGUGGGAGGGCCAGCCGCCGGGGGCGCUGCUGCCGCCACAACUCGUCCAGCCGCCUCUGCCAGCCGUCUCCCUCCACCGCCGGCGACUUCCCUUCCCCGCCAACACUCCGAACUACCCCGAUUCAGCCGAAAGAUAACCGCACAGCCCCAAAACAGCCCCGCAAGAUACGUUUUUAUUACAAAGAUUUAUUGAGGGAGAUGGAAGGUGAAGAAGUUGAAACAUGGAGAGUCUCCAUGGAGGGAGGGAAUCGGCCAAGAGGAUGGAAAGAAAGAGAAAAGUAUUGGCCUUGCUCCCACAUUUUGGAAUAAAUUGGGCUCCCAUUUGAUUUAAUUGAUUUGGGCUUAUUUAGUUGCAAGCCCAAUUUGUAUAAAUAUUUAUUUGUUAGACUUUUUGAUUGUUUUGGCCCAAAGCUAUUUUGUAAAAAAAAACACAUUGGAUUUUCUUUAUUUUUACUUGGAUUGGCCCCAAGUUCUUAUU